rnacentral:lncRNA from 1 species
AGGACUUGUAUGUCGAGUGAUGAGUUUGUUUCACUCAUAUUUUUGCACAAUUUUAGUUUAAUUAAAUGCUAGAUCUUGUGAGUAUAUAACGUUUUUGAUGUGUUUAUUAGUGUUGUUUUGAAGAUUAGGAGAAGCGAUGUGAAAAGAGGUAUUAAAGUGGACGAAGAGGCAGUGCCUAAGCGCUACGAAACUGAAAAAAAGAUGAAAUUUGGACCCGAGAGACAGUGCCGCAACCAUAGCGCCGAGGCGCUAUCAUCAGCGCCUAGGCGCUGCAAUUGAAUAUCUAGGGCGCGUUUUUUUGGACCGUUUUUAAAUCCAUAAAAACCCUACUUCUACAUAAAACGGAAGGGCAGCUGUAAAUACAUCUUUCUCAUACUUUUGAAGGGUUCUUGACAUAUUGGAGAGAAGACAACAAGAAGAGAGAUUUAAAAGAGAAAUUCAAGAAGAUUAACACCAAACAAUUGAAGAUUAGAAGCAUUCAUUGGAAGAUGAAGGAUAUUUUGGUGCAAGAAUUCUACUUUUUCUUCUAAAUUUUUAUUACAAAUUCAGUGAUGUAUUCUAAGACAAAUUCCUACUUUUCUUGUAUUAUGAGCAGCUAAAUUCAUUGUUUGGGGGAAUAAUGUAACCAAUUGGGAUCUUUUACAUUCUGUUAUUAAGACUUUCAAUUUUUAAUUUUUUCAUGUGUUGAUUUUGCUAUGAGUUGAAUGCAUUAAAUUAUCUGAUCAAUAAUUUGAUGAUUUUUGUGAAUUCUUUGCAAAUAGAGAUAUGAGUCUAGGAUUUAGACCGUGUAGUAAAAUUCAGUACAUUGGUAUAACGAGUAGAGAUACCUAUAUCAUUUAUUGCGGUCAUAAUUGAAUUCCUAAGACAUAGAACUUGUUUAACUAAGUUGAAUUUGUAUAGAGAUAUAAAAUUUAAUUAGUUGAAUAGGCUCAAUGAGAACUCGAAAGAGGUAAAUUGAAUACAAUAGGAGAAUUUGAUCGAGCACUAUAUUAGAAUUGAGUUUUAAUUUGAGAUGUAAAGGUGAUCAAUUGGUGAAGUUAUUCUACCCUAACAUCGAUUCAUUAUUUGAUUCUCUAACCAGUCGUGUGAACAUUCAUUUAUUUUCUAGAAUUUAGAUUAAAAUCCAGAUUUUACAACCUUUAAUUUGUUUUAGUCAAAUAGUAGUUAAAGAAAAAUUGAAUUAAGUGAUAGAAAAUAGUCCUUGUGGGAUCGACAAUUCGGACUCUUAGUACGGGUCGUACACUUGUGAAACAAAAUUUCACAACAAAUUUUUGGCGCCGUUACCGGGGAUUAUUUCUUCUAGUCUCAAUUAAUUUUUAUUUUAAUUGUUAUUUGAUUUUUUUAUUUUUCCUUUAUUUACGGAAAAUUGUAUUCAUUGUAUUCUCCAUGCCCAAGGCGACGAUCUUGAACCGUUUGAUUCGGAGAUACAACGUACCUUCAAACGAAGACGCAAAGAACACAAACAAAAACAGCAACGUCGAAUGGCUGACAAUCAACAAAUCCAUAUUUCUAUUCAACCGAUUGGACAAAUAACCGCAAGAGUGGCAACACCGGAAUAGCAACAUGAGAGAGGGAAAAUAAAUGAAGGUGAUUUGCCAGUAUCAAUGUUCCUGACACCUAUAGCAGCACCCAUGCGCUCCAGUAUUGUGCAUCCAGAUUUUGGGGUGAAUAACUUUCAGAUCAGGCCAGAUUGGAUUAACUUGAUGAGCAACACUCUGCAAUUCUACGGGCUACCUCAAGAGAAUCCAAACACGCAUAUCUCUAGAUUUCUCAGAAACUGUCAGAACUUUCAUGCUCCGGGGGUCAAUGAAAAUGCUAUUAAACUAUGACUAUUCCCAUUUACAUUGAGAGAUGCUGCAUUGGAGUGGUUAGAUGUUGAGCCUCACACCAGCAUUACUACAUGGGAAGAACUAACCAGGAAGUUCUAUAAUAAAAUUUUCCCACCAACGAGGGUAGUUAAAAUCAGAUUGGAAAUUCAAACUUUUCAACAGAAAGAGGGAGAAAGCUAUCGCGAAGCAUGUAAUAGGUUUAAUCAGAUGAUGAGAAAAUGCCCAAACCAUGGAAUUACUAUAGGUAAUCAAGUGCAAUACUUCUACACUGGACUUAUAUCGCUGUCAAAAUCUCAAGUUGAUGCCUCAGUUGGAGGAUCAAUUAUAGGAAAAUUUGUGUAGCAAAUCAUGAAACUGUUUGAGUUGAUUGCCACUAUACAUUCAAUGUUCUCAUCGAAAAGAGUGGUGCCACCGAAGAUAGGAGGAAUGUAUGAGUUAGACAGCACAGCAGCUACCAACACCCUAAUAGUAGCAUUGACAAAACAAGUGGAGUUAUUGGUGAAAUCACAAACGAAAGGAGCACAUGCAGUGACCGUUGGUCCAUCAUGCGAGAACUGCGGGGCUAAUCAUCUGAAAGAAAAUCGCACAUCUAUAGGCUAUCUCGACGAACAAGUCAAUUUCAUUCAGAAUGGGUUUCGAAAUUUUAAUCCAUUUGCUCAAACGUACAACCCAGGAUGGAGACAAUACCCAAACUUCAGAUGGUCGGAUAAUCAACAAGGGAACAGUUCAAAUAAUGCCCAACAGGAGAAAAAACCAAGUUUGGGGGAGAUGUUCAACCAGUACAUACAGAAGAUUGACAAGGUAUUUUAGUAGAUUGACACUAACUUUCAGAAUCAGCAAGCAUCAAUCAAGAAGUUGGAAACACAAAUUGGUCAGAUAGCUUAAUAGCUUGCAGAACGCCCACAAGGGACAUUGCCAGGCAAUACAAUGGUCAAUCUAAAAGAGCAAGUGCAAGCUAUUACUACCAGGAGUGGGGUGCAACUUUCAGAAAUACAUGUAAAGAGACUAGAGCAAAAAGAAAAGGAAAUAAUGGGUAAAGAGGUUGGGAAAGAAGUAGAAUUUGAACAACCAACUGAUAAGGAGAACGAAAGAAAAGAAACACCUGCAGUGAGCGCUCCCAACCCCGUGAAGGCUUAUGUGCCACCAAUUUUCUUCCCUCAAAGGUUACAAAGAAAGAAGUUGGAUAAUCAGUUUGCCAAGUUUGUGAAGAUUUUCAAGAAACUGCACAUUAAUAUUCCUUUUGUAGACGCAAUUGCCCAAAUGCCCAGCUAUGCAAAAUUAUUGAAAGAGAUCCUAUCUAACAAAAGGAAGCUAAAAGAACAUGAGGCAGUAUGCUUGAAUGAGGAGUGUCGUUCAAUACUAUUGAGAAAGCUACCUCCUAAACUAAAAGACCCAGGGAGUUUCACUAUAUCGUGCACAAUUGGUUCUAAUUUCUUUGAACAUUCUUUAUGUGAUUUAGGUGCCAGUGUUAAUUUGAUGCCUCUCUCUGUCUACAAGUCUCUUGGAUUAGGAGACACAAAACCUACAACAAUCUAUUUGCAACUAGCCGACAUAUUGAUCAAACGACCAAAGGGAAUUAUUGAAGAUGUGCUAGACAAAGUUGACAAAUUUAUUUUUCUGGCUGAUUUCAUUAUUUUGGACAUGGAAGAGGACUCAAAUAUUCCUUUGAUCUUGGGAAGACCCUUCUUGGCUACUGUGAGAGCAUUGAUUGAUGUUUAUGAUGAAAAAAUGAUUAUUUGAGUGGACAAUGAGUAAGUGAUAUUCAACGUGUUCAAGGCAAUGAAACACCCAUUGACUUCCGAAACUUGCUGCCAAGUUGAUGUUCUUGAAAAGCUUGUGGCGGACACAUUUGAUAUAGAGCAUCACACAAAUCUUUGUAAGGCAGAACUUGCUCAAUUGGAAGCAACAAAUGCAGGAAAAGCUGAAUGUGUUGUCAACUUAGCCGAACAACCCAUAGGAAGAAGGCAUUGGCAGUAUGAAUCUCUAGGUGACAACCCUUCUCCCUCGGUACCCUCAGUGGAAAAGGCAUCCAUUCUUGAACUAAAGCCCUUAUUUUUCCAUCUUCGUUAUGCAUAUUUGGGAGAAUCUUCAACACUGCCAGUAAUCAUUGCAAAUGACAUGACAAAAGAAGAGGAGAAUAAAUUGUUGGAGGUACUCAGACAGCACAAAAUGGCAAUUGGAUGGACAAUAGCUGACAUAAGAGGGAUCAGUCCAAUUCUUUGCAUGCACAAGAUUUUAAUGGAGGAAGGGUCAAGGGCAUCAGUGGAAGGACAACGCUGAUUGAAUCCAACCUUGAAAGAAGUUGUGCGAAAAGAAGUGCUGAAAUUACUGGAUGCAGGAAUAAUUUAUCCUAUAUCUGAUAGUUUGUGGGUGAGUCCUGUACAUGUUGUCCCUAAAAAGGGUGGAAUCACAGUGGAGAAGAACGAGAACAAUGAGCUAUAUCAACAUGGUUAGUGACAGAGUGGAGGGUAUGCAUAGAUUAUAGAAAGCUAAAUAAUGCAAUCAGAAAUGACCAUUUUCCAUUGUCAUUCAUUGAUCAGAUGUUGGAAAGGUUGGCAGGACAUUUUCAUUAUUGCUUUCUGGACGGAUAUUCAGGGUACAAUCAGAUAGUAAUUGCUUCAGAAGACCAAGAGAAGACAACCUUCACAUGCCCUUAUGGAACGUUUGCGUUUAGAAAAAUGCCUUUUGGUUUAUACAAUGCACCAGCAACCUUUCAACGAUGCAUGAUGAUCAUCUUUUCUGACAUGGUAGAAAAGUACAUUGAGGUUUUUAUGGACGAUUUUUCUGUGUUUGGAGAUUCCUUUGAUGAUUGUUUGGAGUGGUUGGCUCUUGUAUUGCAAAGAUGAGAAGAGAAGAACCUUGUGCUUAAUUGGGAAAAAUGUCAUUUCAUGGUAAAGGAAGGAAUAGUACUGGGACAUCGAAUUUCUACAUAGGGAAUUGAAGUGGACAAAGCCAAAAUACAGGUGAUUAAGAAAUUGCAAACACCUAAUUCAACAAAGGGGAUUAUGAGUUUUCUGGGACAUGCAGGGUUUUAUAGAAGAUUCAUUCAAGACUUUGCAAAAAUUACAAAACCGUUGUGUAACCUGCUGGAGAAAGAUAUACCAUUUCAAUUUUCUGAUGAGUGUUUGAAAGCCUUCAUCACUUUGAAAGAAAAAUUGACAUCGGCACCUGUGGUAGUGGCUCCAGAUUGGGAAUUGCCUUUUGAGUUCAUGUGUGACGCCAGUGACUUUGCAGUGGGGGCAGUGCUUGGACAACGCAACAGAAAAGUAUUUCAUGUUAUCUACUACGCUAGCAAAACUUUGAAUGAUGCUCAAAUCAACUAUGCAAUAACUAAAAAGGAAUUGCUUGCAGUUUUUUUGCUUUUGACAAAUCCAGUUCUUAUUUGAUUGGGUCCAAGGUGAUAGUUUAUACAGACCAUGCAGCUCUGAAGUAUUUGUUUGAGAAGAAGGACGCGAAACCAAGGCUAAUUCGCUGGGUGCUAUUACUACAAGAAUUUGACAUUGAGAUUCAUGAUAAAAAAAGGAACAGAAAAUCAGGUAGCGGAUCACUUAUCAAGGAUAGAGCAAUAGCAGGAUUCAGAUGAUAUGAAUAUUAAUGAGGUUUUCCCAGAUGAACAGUUACUACAAGUAGAAAAAACUCCAUGGUGUGCAGGCAUUGUUAAUUACUUAGCCAGUGGCUAUAUGGAUCCGGAUCUCACCUAUUAGCAAAAGAAGAAGCUUGGUCAUGAGACAAAAUUCUAUUACUGGGAUGAUCCAAAUUUAUAUAGGAAAGUGGCGGAUCAAAUCAUUAGGAGAUGUGUGCCUGAGGAUGAAAUGAAACCGAUCCUUUUAUGAGUACAUGCUUCGGCUUACGGAGGGCACUUUGGCCCCACUAAAACAGCAGCAAGGUGCUUCAAUGUGGUUUCUUUUGGCCUACAUUAUUCAAGGACUGCCACAGUUUCUGUAGGUCAUGCGAUAAGUGUCAAAGAACAGGUAACAUAUCAACACGUUACAAGAUGUCACUUAACAACAUUUUGAAAGUGGAAAUAUUUGAUGUCUGGGGGGUUGAUUUUAUGGGUCCGUUUCCAUCAUCUUACAACAAUUGGUACAUCCUGGUUGUAGUGGACUAUGUUUCAAAAUGGGUAGAAGCUAAAGCAUUGCCUACAAAUGACGCAAGGGUGGUGGUGGAUUUCAUAAAGAAACACAUAUUUAACCACUAUGGAUCAUCUAGGGCCAUUAUAAGUGAUGGUGGAACUCACUUCCGCAAUCGGUUGUUCCAGGUAGUUUUGCAUAAGUAAGGGGUGUAACAUCGAAUUGCCACUCCUUAUCACCCUCAGACAAGUGGACAGGUGAAAACGUCAAACAGAAAAUUGAAAAGAAUUUUGGAGGUUACCGUGAAUGCAUCUCGCAAGGAUUGGUCAAAAUAACUGGACGAUGCCUUAUGGGCAUAUCGCACAGCUUACAAGACACCUAUAGGAAUGUCCCCAUAUCGACUAGUCUUUGGGAAAGCAUGCCAUCUACUAGUGGAGUUUGAGCACAGAGCGUACUGGGCAUUGAAGCAUUUACACAUGGACCUUGAAAAGGCUGGAGAAACAAGAGUACUCUAGCUACAUGAGUUGGAGGAAUUCAGAAGGAGGCAUAUAAGAAUGCAUCCAUCUACAAGGAAAUGACAAAGCAGUGGCACGACAAGAACAUCCGGCAACGAAUUUUUCGAGUGGGGGAUCAAGUGCUAUUAUAUAAUUCCCGGCUUAAGUUUUUUCGGAAAAUUGAAUUCUAGAUGAUCCGGUCCUUUUACGAUCUCUCAGGUGUUUCUCUAUGGGAUAGUUGAAUUACACCAUCCAACUAAAGAAAAUUUCAAAGUAAAUGGCCAACGCAUUAAGCAUUAUGUGAAGAUUUCCCCACCGCUAAAGAGAGUCUCGAUCUAGCUGUUCUCGAAUAACUGCGGCACUAUGUCCAGCUAAUGACUUAAAAGAAGCGCUUCUUGAGAGGCAAUCCAAGCUCUACCAUUUAUUUGAUUAUUGGUUUUUGCUUUGAUUUUGUUGUUCCUUUAAUAAUUUAUGCUAUCGUAGUAAUACUUUCUUUUGUUUUUUUUUGUUUUGUUUUUUUUUUUUUUUGUAGGAGAAUCCACAAAGGUUACAUAUUGUAGAAUUUGAGUUCUACAAUGAAAAUGAAUGAGUGUGGUAAGGAGGAGGAGUUUAUUAAAAAAAAAAACGAAAAGGGCAGUAAUGCAGCGCAUAGGCGCUGCGAGUCCUUCCCCCUUACAAUUUAUUUAUUUAUUUUUACUUCUUUUCUAUUUCCUAUAACCACAACCCCUCUUCUUCCUCAGAAUACGAGAUUUUCCAACCCCUCUUCCCUCUCAUCUUCUUCCCCAAACCCCUUCAACUUACCCCUUUUUACCUCCUCUUCAACCAUUCUAAGGUACACUCUUUCCCUCUCUUUCCUUAUUUAGUUUUUUUUUUGUUGAAUUUAUUUUAUCACCUCAUCUACAUCACAGUUCUUUCAAUUACACAUAUUCUCGCCCCCUCCCAAUCCCCCUUGUUGUUUUCAACAUUUCAUUGUUGCUAAGUGUGAAUUCAUUAAUUCCUAUUAGUUUCCACAACAUCAUUCCAGGUAUGGUUAUUUUUUGCUCCCUAUUUUUCUCUCUCUUACAUGAUAGUUGAUGUUUAUAUGUGUCUAUUUUUGAUAAUUAUGUUAAGAGAAGGGCUUGCUUUGUUGUGGUAUCAAGAAAUUUGUGUAUGGUGCGAAUAAUGUGGCAUGAAUUACUUCUAAAUUAUGGGCAAUUUUUGGUGGGAAUUUGCUGCUUUCAAAGUGUUUAUUGGAUUGCCUAGGUUAACUUAGUUGGGUACAAAGGAGCUAUUGUGGCUAUUGUGCUAAUUGACUUAUGUGGAAAUUGCCAUGUAGAUGAUCGUGAAUCGAAAUUAGGUUUAGAAUACAUCUAUUGCACAUUCGAUCAUAGUUCCCUCUUAUGGCUAGAUUUUAAGUCCUGCAUUAUCUUCCUUUACUGCUGUUUUUGCUAAUGGUUUGCAUGUUCUACACUUGCACAGGUCCAAUGCCGCCUAAAAAGAGAUCUAAAGCUGCAGCCUCCUUUUCUAGCUCAUUUGACAAGAGCAAAUUCAUUAGUGUUGAGGCCGCUAAACGAUAUAAUAACCUGGUGGUCCACAAGACCUGUAUCCCUGAACGUGAUUUUUACAAUUAUAUGACAGAGCAGAUAGGUCGGCGGAACUGCCAAUGCGAAGGAGCAUUGAGAUUUCCGAGUGUUUGUGCGGGGUAAGUGGAUACCGUUUGAUAGAACCUCCAUCAACAUGUUUUAUCAUUUGCAAGAUAUUGAAAAUGACGAGUACUCUAGACUUCGUGACGAGGAUGUUGAUCCUAAUGAGGUCAUUUGAGUCUUGGCCACAACUGGUACUACAUGGAAACGUUCAGAGACAUAUAUAAUUAACUUUCCUGCUUCUGGUAUGACUUCGGGUUGUAAGGCUUGGCAUCACUUCAUUUCUGGCAAACUUAUUUCCAGUAGCAAUUUAAGUGAAGUAACAAAAGAAUGAGCUAUCCUUAAUUAUGCUAUUCAGUGCCACCUAUCAAUUGAUGUUGGUAAAGUUAUUUACAACAUCUUACACACUUAGAAAGGGUCGAUGACAGGUGGUCUAGGGCACCCAUCAUUGAUUUAUGAGCUUUGUUUAGCGGGUGGUGUUGUCACAUACCCGACUGAGGAGGUUGUGCACCCCAAACCGUCAAUCACAUGAGCACGUACUUGGAAGUUCUUACGCUGUUCUGAAUCCACCAGUGCUCCACCCCCUCCUCGGAGCGACCAGCCGCCCCGAUCAUGUCGACCGGCCCCAGAUAGUGACCCCACUUCCAACCUUGCCGCUAAGCUUCAUGACAUACAAUUGAAAAUGAAUUUGAUGCAAAAUACUUUGUGCGAGCAAUUCCAUUAUCAACAUGAGUUCAAUGCGGUCCUGGGUUCGAUUUACUCCGAUCGAGCAUUUCCUCAGUCGCCACUCCUACCUGAUCAUGCUGCCAAUCCAAUUCUGAAUACCGAGGACGACGAUGUCGAGAACGACGAUUAAUGUUGUCCGUCUGGUAAGUUCCCUCCCCAUUUUGUUUCUAUUUCACAUUGAGGACAAUGUUUCAGUUAAGUUUGGGGGUGAAUAAAUUUGCUUACGUUGUUUAGUUUCUCAAAUGCUUGCAUGUGAUUUUUUGUUUUAUGUGUUCAUGUGUUUAUUCAAAAAUAAUAAUAAUAAUAAUAAUAAUAAUAAUAAUAAUAAUAAUAAUAAUAAUAAUAAUAAUAAUAAUAAUAAAAUUUAUAUAUGUAUUUUCAUCUUCAGCAUGCUUGUGUGAGUUAGAUAGUCUUAUUAGCUAUGAUGAAUAUAUUUGAGAGCAUGUAUUAGUUUAUGGAUUGUGGAUGAAUCAUAUGUCUUAAUUGGAUUUUCUACUUAUAUAUAUAAAGCAGUAUAACAUUUAUGCACGAAUAUUAAGUUGAGUGUCGUACAGGAACAUGAGGGCUCAUGCACAUAGGCUAAAGAGAUGACUUAGGUGUGUAAUCCCGUAACCUAUGAAUGUCAAUACCCCUUAACCGUAUACAUUAUAAUUUGGGGCAUUCUAACCGGCGAAAAAAAUGAUUUAAGAUUGUGGUGAUUCCGUGCAUGUGAAAAAGAUUGUGUGGAGUGUAUUUAAUUUUCUGGUAUAAGCUUGGUGAUUAUCGAAUGCUAGAAAACUAAUCCCUAUAAAUUUCGCUUCUUUUUAUUAGAGAAGAAGCAUUGCAUGUAUUCAGCUGAGUCUCACAUUGCACCUUUUUGACUCGUGUUAUUAAGUUCGUAGGGGUCUCUUGAAACCUGGUACCCUUUGGUAUACAAAAAAUUGGGGAGUUACCGACCUAACACUCGCUACAGGGGUCAAGAAGUGGAAAAAAUGAUGAGGUAAAAAAAAAAAAAAAACCUAAUCUUGGGGGCCUAGAUAACUAGUGGGUUUGAAUCACUAAGUAUAAAUUAGAUUGUUAAACACUCAUAAAUUGGGAGAAUCAUUACAUGAAUGAAUUGUUGAUGUUGCCGGUUGAACUAACCCAAAUUAGAGUGGUGUGAGAAAAUCUUAAACAAACCUGAACUUUAGAAUUACACCAUGGUAGGAGAAUAAAAGAACUGAGUUUGGGGGGUGUGUGAAUCUUACGAACGAAGAAAGGAAAUAAUUGACCAUUGAGGGUUGGGAAGUGAACCAACUUGUGAAUGUACGGCGCUACACUUGACCCUCCACACACACACAUACCCGCUUCGCGUUGUAUGAGUGGAAGUUUGGUUCUUGCAUUGUGAUUUUAACACCAUUCAUAAGUAUAAUAUAAUGUUAUCAAUGCUGAGCAAAAAAGACAAGCUGUCUAACUGACUAGUUGUGUGGGUAUCGUCCUUGGAUGAUUUUACUGUUUGGAUUGUUUGUUUGCUUGAGGACUAGCAAAUGGUUAAAUUUGGGAGUAUUUGAUGAGUUUGUUUCACUCAUGAUUUUUGCACAAUUUUAGCUUGAUUAAAUGCUAGAUCUUGUGAGUAUAUAAUAUUUUUUAUGUGUUUGUUAGUGUUGUUUUGAAGAUUAGGAAAAGCGAUGUGAAAAGAGGUAUUAAAGUGGAUGAAGAGGCCAAAAACACGGAAUUGAGGCAGAAAGACGGUGCUUAGGCGGUACGAAAUUGAAAAAAAGAUGAAAUUUGGACCCGAAAGGCAACGCCUAGGCUCCGCAACCAUAGUGCCCAGGCGCUGCGAUUGAAUAACUAGGGCGCGUUUUAUAAAUAAAAAUCAUACUUCUACAUAAAAUGGAGGGGCACGUAUAAAUACAUCUUUCUCAUACCUUUGAAGGGUUCUUAACAUAUUGGAGAGAAGACAAUAAAAAGGGAGAUUCAAAAGAGAAAUUCAAGAAGAUUAACACCAAACAAUUGAAUAUUAGAAGCAUUCAUUGGAAGAGGAAGGAGAUCUUGGUGCAAGAAUUCUACUUUUUCUUCUACAUCUUUAUUACAAACUCGGUGAUGUGUUCUAAGACAAAUUUUUACUUUUCUUUUUGUAUUAUGAGUAGCUAAAUUUAUUGUUAGGGAGAAUAAUGUAACCAAUUGGGAUAUUUUACAUUUUCUUAUUAAGAC